rnacentral:misc_RNA from 1 species
CCACAACUGUGACAUCUAGGGACCUUUGAAAGUUGGCGAUUGUGAUGUUUGCAAAGGCAACUGGGGCGACAACAGGGCAAACGUUGUAGACUAGCACCUCGACAAAUCCAAGAGAGAGAACACUCUCGAAUGCCUCCCGUAUAGACUUUGAGUCGAAACAAUCGAUGCGGAUGGCGAAUACCUGAGCCUUCGCCUCGCGGGCAAUCUCAUCGGCAAUUCUGGAUAGGUUGGCCAGGUCUCGGGCGAGAAUGGCAACGGUGUAGCCCUCCUGUGCAAAUUUGCGGGCAAUAGACUGGCCCAGUCUAGGGCCGACACCGAUGAUGGCAGCGAUGCCGCGGGAGUUGGCUGGGGUCGGCAUUGGCCGCAUGGUGAUCAGCCAGAGAGGUAGAUGUGGAUGUGGAGAUGAGGACUCAUUUCUUUUGUUGGCCAGGUCUCGGGCGAGAAUGGCAACGGUGUAGCCCUCCUGUGCAAAUUUGCGGGCAAUAGACUGGCCCAGUCUAGGGCCGACACCGAUGAUGGCAGCGAUGCCGCGGGAGUUGGCUGGGGUCGGCAUUGGCCGCAUGGUGAUCAGCCAGAGAGGUAGAUGUGGAUGUGGAGAUGAGGACUCAUUUCUUUU